GCGCUUCAAGAGGAGGUUGUGCCCGGUUCUGAUGCUCCUUCGAAGCCCUAAAGGAACAGUCAAAAUUUCAGAGGAAAUGUUUCUCUCCUCUGCAGCAUCCUCGGCAUCACCUUUACUCGGCAGCCUGUACCAAACACAGGGAAUGAGACAAUAAAACAUGACAGGUAUGUUCUGCCGGUUGAAAUCCACUUCCAUGCAGGAAGAAAGAGAUCCAAGACUUUAGCUGGGGGGAAGCAGGGAGGUUUGUGUGGCUGGUGGUUUAUUUUUCCCUGCUCCAGGGCUGCACCCAGAUCUGGCUGUUCCAGUGGGUUUCUCAGUGGUGGCCGCAAGGCUGUGGGUGCCAGGCGGCUCUGACUGGGCAAGAGGGAUUUUGAGGGACCAGCCCUCCCCACCAAGCUGGAGAUGAGCAAUGCCAAUGCCCUCAAAUCCCUUCUGUCUCACUCUUGCUCUUGGCUAAGGAGGAGACAAGCUCCAGCCCUGGCACACUACACAGGAACCAUUCCUAUUCCUGGACAUUUGGGUCUGUGAGAACUGAGCUGCUGCUUUAAGCUUUGUUUUGCUACUGAGAUCUGAAGUUUCCUCCCCAGCCCCCAGAAGAGUGGGGGACAGCCUGUCCUGUGAGCCACCCUGUCCUGCCACCUCCACAGCCACGGACAGAGACACCAGCCAGGCUCUCCCUCGGUUAUGCCAGUAUAAAUCUACACUCCACGGGCUUGUUCCAGAUUUAUGCCGGCACAACUGAAUUGAGCAGGUUAAUAAAUAGCUCCUCCAUUAAUAAAUGGAGAGCUACUUAAGAUCAUGAACUUCACGAUGAUGACAAGGUCAUGCCCACCACUUCUGCCCUCAUAACUUCUCCAGCAUUAGUGCCACUCGCAGUUCAGCUUCCCUGUGUAGCCACAGGCAAGGAGGAAAGAUGCCUAAAUGUGGAAGCAAUUCCCAAAGCACCCAGGAUGGAUCCCUGCAGGAAGCAGAGCUGAAGGGCCAGCACACCCCAUAGCUGGGGGGCCCUGGGGUCUCACUUCCCCCUGUGACUUUCUCUCUCUCUCUCUUCAUGGCUCCAGCUCUUGAAAUUAUGUCACUCUCUUCUUUAACCAUCUGGCUCCUGCAAACAAAUAUAAGUCCUCCUACACAGACCCGCUGGUGACAGGCCUGAUCCUUCCCUGGCUGCCACCAGCAUCUCCCUGUGGGGAGAGGCCGUUCCUCCAGGAGCAGCAUUCCCUGCGAGCAGAGGCUCUCCUGGAGAGCCCACAGCAGUGCCCAAGCAGCUCCUGGCCCCAAAGUCCCCCUCUCCUCCUCCCUGAGGAGCUGAGCACCCCAAAAGUGGCAGCAGGACCAGGCAGGGCUGGUGUCACCCUGCACUCCAAAAUCGUCCCCUGCACCCAUCGGCAGUGCACAGCUGGGGCACAGCGCGGGCUGGAAGGUGCCAAGUGCCACCCACCCUCCUCCUGGGCAGAGCCUGGCAGGCACUGACCCUCUGCAGGUGCUGGUCCUGCCCUGACAUCCUGCAGAGCUCCAGCUGGAGCAACAGCUCCCAGAGUGUUUGCCCAGACUGAUGUCUCGGCCCCCGGGCUUUCCCAGGCUCUGCCACUGUCAUUGUCACCACCAGCACAGCCCAGGGCUCUGUCACAGCUUCCAGGAGCAGGGAACUCCAAAGGAAAUCCCAGACUUUCCUUGUUCUCCAGGUCUGAACAAUUCUUCUCAACAUCUCCCCAGGGAAAAAAAAAAAACAAAGAAAAAAAAAAAGAGUGUGAUUGGGUCAGUAAAAGCAGUCGGCUGAAUAAUGGCCAUAAAAUAUUUCAUUCUGACUUUGAUUUUGAGAAACUAUUAAGGAACAAGAUGAAUUUGAAAAUGAAACCCCAGCAGCCCCUUUCAAUGAGGCCCCAGAUAAUGCUUUAACCUUAUUAAA
ensembl:lncRNA